UGAAUAAUGUACUGCUCAUUGGAAUGACCAAUCGGAAGGAUUUGCUUGAUGAAGCCUUAUUGAGACCUGGACGCUUGGAGGUUCAUGUUGAGAUAAAUCUCCCUGACGAAUCUGGACGUCUGCAAAUCCUUCAAAUUCAUACAAAUAAAAUGAAGGAAAAUUCUUUUCUUGAUAAAAGUGUGGAUCUUAAAAAGCUUGCCG
rnacentral:misc_RNA from 1 species